rnacentral:lncRNA from 1 species
UAAAACGAUUAUUAUUUUUUUUUGAAUGAGAACUAUUGCUCAUGAUGACAUUUACAAUCAUAUAUAUACUAAGACCCGUUUACAUCAAUUCUGAUAUGGCACCGCUCAGAUUUUUAACCCUCUCAAAUAUUCGAGAGACGUUCUGAUAUGGCACCGCUCAGAUUUUUAACCCGUUUACAUCAAUUCUGAUAUGGCACCGCUCAGAUUUUUAACCCUCUCAAAUAUUCGAGAGACGUCAACUCCCAUUCUGGGAGAAAGACUGCCUUCACUCAAGCUCUGGGGUUCCAAGGAAGGAAAUUGAAAUCAAACCCCUACAAUGCGUCUGCAGAGGCUCGAACCACUUCUCUCUCAUUUGUGAGGGAGUGACUCUGGCCACUUGGGCUUAGC